GAUGAAGAACUCAGCGAAAUGCGAUAAUUAAUGUGAAUUGCAGAAUUCCGUGAAUCAUCGAGUCUUUGAACGCACAUUGCGCCUCAUGGCAUUCCGUGAGGCAUGCCCAUCUCAGCGUUAGAAAAUAUUCUCAAAUUUUAGUUUUGUGCUAAAAUUUGGAUCAUGUCAAGGAAGCUAUUACUAUUAUUGUGAUCGCUCUUUGGAAAUUGAUAGGUCUUUGAGUUGCUACUCAUAGAACGUGAUGAAUCUUUCUUCGUUCUAUUGUAAUUCACUCUGGUAGUCCUAAAACUUGUAUGCCUGUGGCAUAUCUUGUAAUUUGACCUGAGAUUGGGUAGGGAUACCCGCUAAACUUAAGCAUAUCAAUAAGCGGAGGA
rnacentral:misc_RNA from 1 species